rnacentral:lncRNA from 1 species
CGGGUUUCCGCGAAAAUUUUUUAUUUUUAUCCUCUUUCGAGCUAGAUGUAAACUCUUUGUUGUCCGGAUCGCAAUGAGUCGACUUUUGUUUUUCUUUUAUACUUUCAGCACUUAUACUUCGCACCUACUACUUGCAAAUUCGCAAUUACUAUUAGGAAAUUAGCAAAUUAAUAUAAUGAUACGAAUAAUAAUGAAAUUUUCUAUUUCAGGGAAUGGAGAUGUUGAUUCAAAAGGCCGCCAACAAUUGCAACUAUCAGAUGAUGAUGAAUUCAACCUAUAUUAUCUUUCAAAUGGUGAUCCGAAAUGGAAGACAAAUGUUUUUUCACCAAUCGGAGCGAAAUUGAAAGGGUACUUGUACAAUUACAUAGUAUCAACAGGGCCCGACAAUUUCUUCGAUUCUGCUGACAUCACUGAUACUACGCGGCACAAAGCAAAAAAGAAUAGAACCCCGCAUGCAAGAGGCGAGUGCUGGCCUACUAGCAUUUACACCACGGAAGACGAGGCAAUUUGCCUACAUCCGUCGCCAUCCACAAGUAACGCCCCCGAAGGAUUUGUAUCACGAGCAGAAUUUGAGAAAUUGCAGGCUCAGUUAGCGGCACUCAAGAAGGAGGAUGCAAAGGAUGGAACUAAUGAUGUAAAGGUGGAUAUCCAAGAGGAGUCAGAAGAAUACAAUAGAGACGAGUCAACUUUCCUUGCUCCGUCCGUAAUAGUAUCUAGACAAGGAGAGCCAGGACCCCCUAAAAGUAAGGAGGACGCUGUUACAAUGAAGGCUAAAAAGAGGGCUAAAGAGGAAUGUGAACCUAUAGGUAAUUCUUAA